CGCUUAAAUGGCUUUGACGAGUCGAGUCAGGUACUUGAGCGGCUCAACUCGGCUCGAGCUCGAGCUAGAGUAUACAAUUUCUAAAAGCCCUAAUCGAGUCCAAGCUUGGUAAAAAGGCUUUUCGAGCCUUAAAUGGGCAGCUCGGCUCAUUUAGUUGCUUUAAGUAGUUUUUUAAAAUGUGAUUAAAAAAAAAACUUAAAAACACAAACAAUAUGAAACAGAUAAACAUGAUUGACUAAAGAUAUAAAUAGGUACUUUUGAGUUUUGAGCAUUUACGAGAAAAUUCAAUUAUAAACUAAACUUGAUUUUCAAAUUUGGGAAAUUAAUACUACGCAUAAAUAAAAGAAAUACAAAUACAAAGACAAACUUAAAAGAGAGAUCAACAAAGACUUAAAGUCUUAAAAAGAGUUUAAAUUUACAUAACUUACUAAAAUACAACACAAAUUACAACAUUAUCAAUUAAUGUAAUCUGGCCAUCUAGGUUGCCACUUGCCACCCACACUAGGCAUCAAUGCAAAUCUACAAAGACUGACUAGCUUAAGUCAGUAAACCACCAGCUAGCAUAACCAAUCAUACUCCUGAAUGACUUCUAAACUCGCACCGGAACCAACGCUAAUCCCUCAACCUGCAACAAAAGUAACAUCUAUGUAAUCAUAGAGAUCAUCCAUGAUUACAUAGGAGAAGAAAAGAAGAAAGGGUGAGUCAACAGUUCAUAAAGAAUGAAGACUCCCCCGAGGGUUUUCGCAAUGAGCCAAACUUUUAUUUAUGUAAUCGCUUACAAUAUCAGCCACUCAAUUCCAUAAAAAUAUUAUUCUUUCAUUUAUUACACUCAGUGUGGCUGAUGAAGUAAACAACACAUUCAUAAAGCAAUUUAAAUCAUUAUAUAACUGUGAAUGUAUGCAUAUGCUCCAAAAAUAUGUUUGGAUACAUAUACAUAUGAACCAUCUAAUGCACAUCUUGUACCAAAUAAAAUUCAUAAAACAUCAUAUGCAAUCCAGCUGUAAACGUAUACGUAAGUUCUUCCCCUUUGAGAAUCUUAUGCAUACCCAUACAUCUAGCAUGACAUACCUCUUAAACCAAUACAUACUUUGACAUUCAUCAUCUCAUUCUUCAUAUACAUACAAAUACAUCUAGCAUGAAAUCUCAUAAAACAUAAUACAUAUACACAUCAUUAAAACAUAACCGUGCAAUACAUACUUUGACAUUCAUCAUCUCAUUCUUCAUAUACAUACAAAUACAUCUAGCAUGCAAUCUCAUAAAACAUAAUACAUAUACAUAUCAUUAAAACGUAACCGUGCAAUACAUACAUAACUUUCGAGGACUUGUCCUCCAUUCAUACAUUUACAUCUUUUCAUCUUUUCAGCACCGAGGGCUUGCCCUCCGAGAAUUGUCUCGAACUGAUGCUGAGGACUUGUCCCACUCAUUUAAUCUAUUCAUACAAUUACAUCUUUUCAUCUUUUCAGCACCGAGGGCUUGCCCUCCGAGAAUUGUCUCGAAUUGAUGCUGGGGACUUGUCCCACUCAUUUAAUCUUUUCAUACAAUUACAUCUUUUCAUCUUUUCAGCACCGAGGGCUUGCCCUCCGAGAAUUGUCUUGAACUGAUGCUGGGGACUUGUCCCACUCAUUUAAUCUAUUCAUUCAUUUACAUAUAAAUCAUCAAUAGUGGGCCCAGCCCUGUCAUUUGAUAAUAGUGAGCCCAGCUCUGUCAUUUGAUAAUAGUGAGCCCAGCUCUGUUCAUGCUCAUUUCAAUGUACUUACAAAUCUCAACAAUCAUGUUUCAACAACAGCAUUUAAAUCAAUCUUCCUUCAUCAUAAUCUCAAAAUCUCAAAGCAACAAAGUAAUCAAUACAUCAUAGCAUUUCUUUCAUAUCUUAAAACUUUCACAAUCACAACCACAAUAUCAAUCAUAUCUCAUCAAAUAUCUCAUAAAACAUUGAAAGUAUCAAGUAGUAAUAAAGCAUGCUCAAACAACAUAUGAAUGGCUCGACUUUUUCAUAACUUUAAAGAAACUUUAAAGACAUUAAAAUUCUGCUCUUUCUCAACUUGUUUAGCAUCUUUAAAAUAUCUAAAAUCAUUGAUAAAAUUCUUUGAAAACAUAAAACGUAUUCGUCCUCAGUGAGUAAAAGAUUACUCACCUUAAGAGACCAUGAGGGAUUCACAACUAAGGCGCUCAAGCUUGCUUACUCUCGCAAAUGCUUCCACGAUCCAAUUACCUUGUACUACAUUGGAGUACUAGCUUUAGUCUCCAAUCUCAUGUAACAUACCUCUUCUUCUUCUCAAUUUUCUGCAUCUCUCUCUCUCACGGCAUCAUCUCUCUCUCUCUCUCUCGGUCUAGGACAGCAUGAACGAAGAAACAGGGAGAAG
rnacentral:lncRNA from 1 species